rnacentral:piRNA from 1 species
UCUCAGAUUCUCACCAAACAGUCCC